AACGAGGUUAAAAGCAUUGGACGAUACGCGUAUCAAGCGAUAAGGCAGCUGUGUCAACGGCGACACUUUACUGAUUUAAUGAAAUGAACAUUACAUUGGAUAAACCACUGCUCCCACAUGAGUUCAUAGUCCGAGAUGCGGCUCCCUCAGGAACAUGCGGUUUUCGAUCAGCUUUGGUCCAUCUCAUGGCUUGAGGAUUGCAGUUUUCGCUUCAAACGUGUGG